CGUCUCCCAAAUGAACUUAUAAGUGUUUUUCUCCCCAUCAUGAAAGUUUUUCCUGUCAUACUCCCAAGGUUUUCCCAAAAUUAAGUGGCUCACAUCCAUUGGUGUGAUGUCAAAAUAAAGUGAUCCUUGUAUUACUGUCCAACAGAAAAUGACACUAAUUUUCUAUGAGUGAUACGAAGAUCCACACCAUCAUACAACUAAGUGAGUGAAUAAGGACACAAAUGCUCUUCUACUGGUAUAUCUAGCUUUCAGACACAUUGCGACUACUGCCCGAAUCAAUGAUGAAUGUGCAUAUCCGGCCCUUGAUCGUACAUAUCUUGGUUCGUCGCAAGGUUAAUACUUGAGAGCGAUACGAGUAGAACGUUUCACCCCAUUCUCACCUUCGCGAAAACCCAGAUGUGGCUUUGUUUUGACGUUGUCUUUGUUGUCCCGUGGAGUAGAAGCAUGUGACGAGCUACUUUGAUUAAAACAUCGCCGAGAUGAGGAAUUCCAAGGAGGAGCACGAAACUGUUGUUCAAAUGAGAAGGCACGCCGAUGAGCUUCAACAAUUGUGGUUGGAUCAUAUUGAGCCAGAGAGCUCUGAAUUCGCGGUCGCAUGAAUG
rnacentral:lncRNA from 1 species